UACGUAGGGUGCAAGCGUUGUCCGGAUUUAUUGGGCGUAAAGAGCUCGUAGGCGGUUCCGUAAGUCGAAUGUGAAAUCUCCACGCUCAACGUGGAGGGGUCAUUCGAUACUGCGGUGACUAGAGUCCGGUAGGGGAGUGUGGAAUUCCUGGUGUAGCGGUGAAAUGCGCAGAGAUCAGGAGGAACACCCGUAGCGAAGGCGGCACUCUGGGCCGUGACUGACGCUGAGGAGCGAAAGCGUGGGGAGCGAACAGG
rnacentral:rRNA from 1 species